rnacentral:lncRNA from 1 species
AUAGCCAAGCUAUUUUUAUCACCCUUAUCCAGAGGGUUUCAUGUGUUGCAGCCCAGGAAGCUGUGUCACAUUGCUUUGGAAGUGCAUUAGCUGCCUGUGGCAAAUUCCAGGAGACGAAAUCAAAGAUGGUGGUGGCUUAACAGUGAAUUGGCCAAAUUCAGCGGUGGGUCCCAGAGGAGUCUGGAGGGAUUCCAAGUUGGUAAAAUUUACGCAUUCUUCUGAGUGCCUCAAUAUUUGUUCUCCCACAGAUUUAUUUGUUCCUCCUACUCCUUAUCUCUAAAUUUGGCCCAUUGAGUGCCACAUCAAUGAGUCCAAGGAAGUGUGACUGAUCUACUGAGGGGCCAAAAGAGAGUAGCAAGAAAAGCAGCUAACUGAAGGAUAAAAGAAUGUGUUGUCGACCCUACUCUUUAAUUUACACAUUUUUCUGGUUCCUGAGCAUCUCAGCAUUUGUCUAGACAAAGUUACUGCACAGCAAACUGGGGUGUAAAGCUACGCUGCAACUUUUGCUGGCUGCCUCCAUACUCACUGCUACAAAUGGCAUGUGCAGAUCGAUGUAAAUUCUAACACUGACCAAUAUUGGACGUCACCUACAAAUGGAAUUAUUGUUGAAAAUAGCAACAAGAACUGAGACUUGCUCUGAAAUGUCUACCGGAAUGGUUAUCGGUUCUGAAAGCUCCUUGGAACUAAUCAUAUGUUAAUGGGAUUUCUUUGUUCACAUAAGAGCAUGGACCAUAAGAUCUAAAUUGCGACUAUGUAGGACAAGUCUCCUCCGGAGCAAAGUGGAGGCUGCAGCUCCACUGUCUGCCACCACACCAACUCUGUUGUUUCCUGUGCUAGAAUCCCUCCCUCUGCUGGUGUCAACACGGGGGACAUGAUGGGAUUGUGCUAGGGGAAGUCUCAAUAUUGAUGCAAAAUUAACAUUGUUUUAAUUUACUCUUUAUAGCAUUAGGUGUUCAGAUUUAAUAACAGUGGAGACAAGUUUAAGAACUAUUUCUCUGUACUUGUAGAUAGACCGUGCUUGGAGAUUAGCAGCUUAUAUUUGUUUUCAGUUGGUCUUAUUUAAUAACAUUCAGCAUAAUUAAAGAAAUUUAGAAAAAUUUCCACCUUUUCCUAAUGUGACAAGCCCAAGAAGCUUCAAGGAGAUAUCUUUAUUUAUAACCCUCAAGUGCAAUUGCAGACUCAAAUGCAGUUUUAUAACUUCCAUAUUGUUCCACAUAGCUUAUUUCAUGUAAUGUUAGUUAUUGUAUCGAGUGUUUGGGAUGAGUUUUUACUUGGGAGUAAAGCUACUUUUGAUUGAUAAAAAGGCAAACAUCCAAACAAGAGAGAGUCCCUCAAAAGAGGCAGCCUUCUCCCCAUUGUUAAGGACUAUGGGACUAUUGUUUUUCCUAGGAUUUCAAACAGAAGCGUUAGAAGGCAUAUCUAGCAUAUGUGGUUGAGACAGUAUCUGAAGACUAUCUAAGCUAAAGACAAAUUUAAAAAAAGACUUUAUAUAAAGUAAGGAUAGUUGGAUUUAAAAACAGAAUUUCAACUCCUAUUGAACCCUAAUAAAAAUAAAUGAAUCUCUCA